rnacentral:lncRNA from 12 species
GCCGUGUUUGCUCUCUGGCAUCCAGCUGACAGCUCCAGCCAGGGCUGAGCCAGCCCUGGAGGCUGCGAGUCCCCCUGGCCCCAGCUGGGCUGUUUGCUGUCUGCUGGCCACUGAGCUGGGGAGAAAAGCAGCAUUUUCCUCCCUGCUUUGAAUUUCUCCGCUCUGCCAGACUUUUUGUCUUGCUUGGGAAGCAGCAGAGCCACGAGAAGAGGGACAAGGGAGGUGAGUCUCUCUUUUUUUAUCCGCUCGGGCUGGCUCUGCUCGCCUCCAAGUGCUGGUUAAUAUUUUUUGCAGCAGGGGACGGAAGAGGAGGAGGAGGAGGAGGAGAGCAUCAGAGGAAGGCAGGGGCCCCACGAUAUCCUGGCAGGGAAAGGCAGCCUGGAGUGAGCCUUGCUGGGGUCCCUCUGGAGGGUGUUUGGGAGCCGCACAAGUGGGAAAGGCACUCGGGGCUGUGCUCCAGGGCUCGCUCAACCUCUGCUCAGCACCCAGAGGCGGGCGCCCCCCCCCCCCCCCCC